rnacentral:rRNA from 1 species
CCUACGGGAGGCUGCAGUGGGGAAUAUUGGACAAUGGGGGGAACCCUGAUCCAGCCAUGCCGCGUGUGUGAAGAAGGCCCUCGGGUUGUAAAGCACUUUCAGUGAGGAAGAACGCCUGGUGGUUAAUACCCAUCAGGAAAGACAUCACUCACAGAAGAAGCACCGGCUAACUCCGUGCCAGCAGCCGCGGUAAUACGGAGGGUGCGAGCGUUAAUCGGAAUUACUGGGCGUAAAGCGCGCGUAGGUGGCUUGAUAAGCCGGUUGUGAAAGCCCCGGGCUCAACCUGGGAACGGCAUCCGGAACUGUCAAGCUAGAGUGCAGGAGAGGAAGGUAGAAUUCCCGGUGUAGCGGUGAAAUGCGUAGAGAUCGGGAGGAAUACCAGUGGUGAAGGCGGCCUUCUGGACUGACACUGACACUGAGGUGCGAAAGCGUGGGUAGCAAACAGGAUUAGAUACCCUGGUAGUC